GCCAGAUCUAGCCCGCACCCCCCCCCCCCCCCCACCACAAAAACUACCAAGCCCACCAAACAAACCAUUUGACAAGGCCAGUAAAUGCGAUUAAACCCCACCAACGACGCGAUAGUGAAACAGUACCGCAAGGGAAAGGUGAAAUACCCCCAACUAUAAAGCAACAUAAAGCAGGGACAAACCCCCGUACCUUUUGCAUCAUGAUCCAGCAAGAACCCUCUGGCAAAGAGAAUCUAUAGUCCGCUACCCCGAAAUCGAAUGAGCUACUUCUGGGCAACCAAUAGACCCAACCCGUCUCUGUAGCAAAAGAGUGGGACGACCCCGAAGUAGGGGCAAAAAACCUAACGAACUCGAUGAUAGCUGGUUACCUGAUAAAAGAAUAUUAGUUCUACUUCAAGGCGAACAACACACAGACUAGUUUUAACCUGGCGCCUUUAAAGAUACUCAAUAGGGGUACAGCUCUAUUGAACCAGACUACAACCUGCCGCAGAGAACAACCAAAACCACGCAAUCAGUGGGCCCCAAAGCAGCCACCACCAAACUACAGCGUCACAGCCACAUCACAAAAAUACCACCCUUAAUACCUCACCCCUGCAAGCCCAUCAGGCAAUUCUAUAACCGUAUAGAAGAACUUAUGCUAGAAUUAGUAACAAGAGCCCCUCUCUCUCUGCGCACGCCUGUAACUCAGCAAUAGAACACCUACUGACAAUUAACAGACCAAAAAAGGACCAAUGUUACACCAACAAGACAAAGAUUCUACCCACUGUUAACCCAACACAGGACUGCCUCAUAAGAAAGAUUAAACAUCAAAGAAGGAACUAGGCAAACUUUCAGGCCCCAACUGUUUACCAAAAACAUAGCCUUUAGCAAAAAGUAUUAAAGGUCUCGCCUGCCCAGUGACUAACCACUUACUUAAACGGCCGCGGUAUCCUAACCGUGCAAAGGUAGCGUAAUCACUUGUCCCCUAAAUAGGGACUAGUAUGAAUGGCUAAAUGAGGGCCUAGCUGUCUCCCUUGAUUAAUCAGUGAAAUUGAUCUGCCAGUACAAAAGCUGGUACCCUGUGGAGCUUAAAAUACUUAUGCCAAGCAGCAUCAACCGCCAAAUAAUGCCAUAACAUUUUCAGUUGGGGCGACUACGGAAACAAACAAAACUUCCAAGCCAAGGAUCUCCUCCUCCACCACAGACAAACACGUCUACAUCACAUGACCCAGAACUACUCUGAAUAACGAACCAAGUUACCCCAGGGAUAACAGCGCCAUCUUCUUCAAGAGCCCCCAUCGACAAGAAGGUUUACGACCUCGAUGUUGGAUCAGGACACCCCAAUGGUGCAGCCGCUAUUAAAGGUUCGUUUGUUCAACGAUUAAAGUCCUACGCGAUCUGAGUUCAGACCGGAGAAAUCCAGGUCGGUUUCUAUCUAUGUUAAAUCUUCCCCAGUACGAAAGGACCAGGAAGGUGGGGCCUAUCCUAACAAGAAGCCCUUAAAGCACAGCUGACAUAAACUUAACCUGCCGAAGACAAAAAUCCAAGCCCAAAACCAGGGCUAUU
rnacentral:rRNA from 1 species